GACGAAGGUGGCAAGCGUUGUUCGGAUUCACUGGGCAUAAAGGGCGCGUAGGCGGCUCCGCAAGUGGCAUGUGAAAGCCCCCGGCUCAACCGGGGAAGUGCGUGCCAAACUUCGGGUCUUGAGGGCGGUAGGGGGGACUGGAACUCUCGGUGGAGCGGUGAAAUGCGUAGAUAUCGAGAGGAAUACCGGUGGCGAAGGCGAGACCCUGGUCCGCAACUGACGCUGAGGCGCGAAAGCGUGGGUAGCAAACAGG
rnacentral:rRNA from 1 species